UACAGAGGAGCCAAGCGUUGUCCGGAUUGACUGGGCGUAAAGCGCACGCAGGCGGUCGCGUGCGUGGGGUGUGAAAUCUGGCCGCUUAACGGCCAGGCGCCAUCCCAUACGGCGCAACUGGAGGGCUGCAGAGGUCGAUGGAAUUGCCGGUGUAGUGGUGAAAUGCGUAGAGAUCGGCAGGAACACCCAGGGGGAAACCAGUGGACUGGCACGGUGCUGACGCUCAGGUGCGAAAGCGUGGGGAGCGAACCGG
rnacentral:rRNA from 1 species